GAUGAACGCUGGCGGCGUGCCUAAUACAUGCAAGUCGAGCGAACGGACGAGAAGCUUGCUUCUCUGAUGUUAGCGGCGGACGGGUGAGUAACACGUGGAUAACCUACCUAUAAGACUGGGAUAACUUCGGGAAACCGGAGCUAAUACCGGAUAAUAUUUUGAACCGCAUGGUUCAAAAGUGAAAGACGGUCUUGCUGUCACUUAUAGAUGGAUCCGCGCUGCAUUAGCUAGUUGGUAAGGUAACGGCUUACCAAGGCAACGAUGCAUAGCCGACCUGAGAGGGUGAUCGGCCACACUGGAACUGAGACACGGUCCAGACUCCUACGGGAGGCAGCAGUAGGGAAUCUUCCGCAAUGGGCGAAAGCCUGACGGAGCAACGCCGCGUGAGUGAUGAAGGUCUUCGGAUCGUAAAACUCUGUUAUUAGGGAAGAACAUAUGUGUAAGUAACUGUGCACAUCUUGACGGUACCUAAUCAGAAAGCCACGGCUAACUACGUGCCAGCAGCCGCGGUAAUACGUAGGUGGCAAGCGUUAUCCGGAAUUAUUGGGCGUAAAGCGCGCGUAGGCGGUUUUUUAAGUCUGAUGUGAAAGCCCACGGCUCAACCGUGGAGGGUCAUUGGAAACUGGAAAACUUGAGUGCAGAAGAGGAAAGUGGAAUUCCAUGUGUAGCGGUGAAAUGCGCAGAGAUAUGGAGGAACACCAGUGGCGAAGGCGACUUUCUGGUCUGUAACUGACGCUGAUGUGCGAAAGCGUGGGGAUCAAACAGGAUUAGAUACCCUGGUAGUCCACGCCGUAAACGAUGAGUGCUAAGUGUUAGGGGGUUUCCGCCCUUUAGUGCUGCAGCUAACGCAUUAAGCACUCCGCCUGGGGAGUACGACCGCAAGGUUGAAACUCAAAGGAAUUGACGGGGGACCCGCACAAGCGGUGGAGCAUGUGGUUAAACUCGAAGCAACGCAAAGAACCUUACCAAAUCUUGACAUCCUUUGACAACUCUAGAGAUAGAGCCUUCCUCUUCGGGGGACAAAGUGACAGGUGGUGCAUGGUUGUCGUCAGCUCGUGUCGUGAGAUGUUGGGUUAAGUCCCGCAACGAGCGCAACCCUUAAGCUUAGUUGCCAUCAUUAAGUUGGGCACUCUAAGUUGACUGCCGGUGACAAACCGGAGGAAGGUGGGGAUGACGUCAAAUCAUCAUGCCCCUUAUGAUUUGGGCUACACACGUGCUACAAUGGACAAUACAAAGGGCAGCGAAACCGCGAGGUCAAGCAAAUCCCAUAAAGUUGUUCUCAGUUCGGAUUGUAGUCUGCAACUCGACUACAUGAAGCUGGAAUCGCUAGUAAUCGUAGAUCAGCAUGCUACGGUGAAUACGUUCCCGGGUCU
rnacentral:rRNA from 1 species